rnacentral:rRNA from 1 species
GACAGAGGAUGCAAGUGUUAUCCGGAAUCACUGGGCGUAAAGCGUCUGUAGGUGGUUUAAAAAGUCUACUGUUAAAGCUUGAAGCUUAACUUCAAAAAUGCCGUAGAAACUUUUAAACUUGAGUAUGGUAGGGGUAGAGGGAAUUUCCAGUGGAGCGGUGAAAUGCGUAGAUCUUGGAAAGACCACCAAUGGCGAAGGCACUCUACUGGGCCAUAACUGACACUAAGAGACGAAAGCUAGGGGAGCGAAUGGG